UCCUUACAUAUGUAUAUGAUAUCAAAGAUGUCAAGUCGUUCCAAAAUGGAUAAACAACUCUAGACUUAUAAACAACUAGAGUGGUCUUUCUUGCAAGUUGCAACUUAUAAAAGAGACUCAAAAAUUCAUUUUCCAAUGGAAAAAUUAUGAUAAAAUGUUUAUGACCAAUUGUUACAUAAGAUAUGCACUUUUAAGAUACAAAUCUUUUUACUAUUUUGAGCCCUCCACACUAAUAUUGAUAGCAGUAAGUAGCUACGAUUUAAUUUCUCUUAUGAUCUAAUCUAAUCUUCAUCAAUUAUUCCUUGCAGUUUUAUUCAGCAAAAACCAAAACCUGAAAAGAAUCUUAUAAAGAGGGUGCAAUACACUGUGCAUAACAAAAAAUUUUCGUUUCCCACGAGAUUUUUGCUCGAAAACCAGGAGUACGAUCCACUUUUAUCACAGUUUUAAAACUUCUUAAAAAACAAAUCCACAAAUGGGUUUGAUACGAUACAUAUGAUUACUAAAUAAUUUACUUUUGAUUACAGUUUAUCUGUAAUGGUCGGGACUACAAAUUUAGGAGAACUAUUUAAUCCUAUCUUGCUCUUAUUAAUCAAAGAAAAACAACCGGGGAGAAGAAAUGAUUGUGACGUCUCUAAAAGUGUCAAUUAAAUUUAGCCAAGUGGUUCCUAAAAUUGAGAAACGACAAAGCCAUAAAGCCCAAUAAUCCCUACAAUAGCAAAUAAAUGGGCGCCCUCAAUUUGCAAUUUUUAAAUAAUAUACAACUUGGUUACUUUCACAAGAGAGAUCAAGUUGUUGAUUAACAUGCGUUAGAUUUUGUCAUUAUUUAGCCCACUCACCACUAACAGCGAAAAUGAAACUUAAAAAGAAUUAUUACACUCUAGUUCAUCUAUUCAGUAGACAUAACAUUACAUUAUGAUGACCAUUACUUUAAUUUGCAAUUGCAAAGCUAUAACAACAAAGGCAUUUUUUUUUUUUUUUUAUUAACCAAAUGUGGUACUUGAACGAAGUUUUUGUUGCUCGAUCGUGGUUUCCAUAAAAAAAACUACUAACUAAAGUAAAAGUUAUGCUAAUAAAAUAUU
rnacentral:lncRNA from 1 species